GACGAACGCUAGCGGCGUGCUUAACACAUGCAAGUCGAGCGGAAAGGCCCUGCUUUUGUGGGGUGCUCGAGUGGCGAACGGGUGAGUAACACGUGAGUAACCUCCCCUUGACUUUGGGAUAACUUCAGGAAACUGGGGCUCCUACCAGCUAGUAGCUCCUGCUUCAUUGUGUGGGUUGGAUAGUUUCGGCGGUUGUGGAUGUACUCGCGGCUAAUCAGCUUGUUGGUCGGGGAGUGGCUUACCAGGGCUUUCUUGGGUAGCCGGCCUGAGAGGGUGACCGGCAACAUUGGGACUGAGAUACGGGCCAGACUCCUACGGGAUGCAGCAGUGGGGAUUAUUGCACGAUGGGGGGAAGCCUGAUGCAGCAACGCCGCGUGCGGGAUGACGGCCUUCGGGUUGUAAACCGCUUUCGCCUGUGACGAAGCGUGAGUGACGGUAAUGGAUAAAGAAGCACCGGCUAACUACGUG
rnacentral:rRNA from 1 species